GCCGUUUAAGUAUUGUCUUUUACAUGCAGCUGAAUGAUUACACAAAGGCACAUGUAAUUUAGGUGGUCCAUUUCUUAAUGUGUCUCCUGUUCCUUUGCUUUCUUCUUUCCCUCUUGUUCCUGAAUCUCUGCAAGAACAAGGCCACAGAAUACAUACUUUUAUCGUUUGGCAUGCCUACAGAGCCUGAUUAAAAUACCUCUGUGAAAGGAAUCUUACAUCAUUCAUGUCUUGUCUCCUGCUUUUUCAUCAGGGUUCAGAGAGAGGGAGGAAGGAGCUGCAUGCUCUGUUUGUGUAGGUGUGUAUAAAAGGGAAAGCCUGUGGCCUUUGGAGCCAUACAAUGAUCAGAAACUGAGAGUGAGACGAGCCAAGUUGUAGUUGGAGCUCAGCAGGAUACAGUUCUUGAGUCACUUCUCUGACAUCCACAGAUAGUAGAGCAGUUGCAUAGGUUGAAAGAGAGAGAGUAGCACACCUCCACAAUGCGCAUGGAGCAAGUAUUCAGGCACUGUGACAGAGACACACUAAAGAUGGCCAUGCUGAAGCAUGAAGAGACUUUCAGACAGCAAGUUCACGAGCUCCAUCGCUUAUACAGUUUUCAAAAGCUUCUGAUGCGAGACCUCACGAGCCAGAGGAACGUGUCCACCUCCCCGAACGGCGGCUCCACCGAGCACAGAAGAGGCACGCUCGGCUUGUGCGCCUACGAGCACCGCUACGCCGCUCGCGGUCGCGGCGGCCACGUAGCAGCGACGCCAACGCCUCGCACCGCGCUCAGCCUCGACGUCGUGGCGCCGGCCGUCGGGUACGUCCGGAGCCCGGAGGAGGCGGACGAGGAGACCGACGACGAGGCGGAGCUGGAGCUCACGCUCGCCGUGGGCGGCGCCGGCGCCGGCGGGGGAAAGAAGAGGUACUGCGAGUGCCCAUCUGGCGGGGAGAGCUUCUCGUCGUCGUCGACGGAGUCCGACGUGCUGCCCACCGGCCGGGAGUGGCGCCAGGCGCGCGGUAAGCCGUACCACAAGAGGAAGUCGGCGACCGGGCUGGACGCGGUGCCGGUGGAGGACGGCAUCGAGGUUCAGCCGCCGCCGCUGCUGUUCCACUGGCUCAGCCUCAGGAUGGCAUGAGAUGAGAGGGAGCAAGAACACAUGCAUGUCUUCCUGCAUGCUCGUAGUGUCAGGGACUCAGGGUGUUGACAUGCUACUAUUCUUCAGUUGAAUGCUUCUGUGUGUUCCAGCUUAGUGAUGGAUCAGGUCUAGAAAUCAAUAAUUGACCAGUUGUUGAGGAGAAUGUAGGAUCCAGUUUCCGAAAGGGGAGGAGAACGUAGGGGCUUUUCCUUUUGAGUUGAAGCUGUAAGUGUGAUUACCUUAGUGCAAGUGCCUCUGCUUUCAUUGACAGUCAACUUUUCAAUCAUCAGAAUGCCAGACACCAAGAACUACAAGGUGCUGUUGAUAGAGUGAUUGAUCCAAACUGGUGCAUCCUGAAAGAUUCAUCACAUACACAUCAAGCAUGUGAAAUAUAGGCUCAUGCAAAGUCUGCAUAUAUUUAAGUGAGGCUGAUACCAUUUUUUUUUUUUUGAGGAAAUGAAUUGUGAAUAGCGAUUGUUUCUACGAUUCGCCAUCGAAUAGGUCUGGUUUCCUUCAAUACCAUCGAAUAGCGAGUUUUCCUAGUUUUAUGCCAUUGCCUCGGCAAGCUGUGGACCUAAGUGAGACGUUGUAAAAAGACCAUUUUGUCUCUAUUUCAGUAUGUGAGUAAUUUUUCUCAUGCAACUGCAAAUUAUGGGUCACAUUUUUAUUGUUAAUAUGCAACAAACAAAAGUUA